ensembl:lncRNA
CUCGGGUUUCACGCGGCGUUUUCUGGGCUGGUUUAUUGGGUCAAACGCGUGAGAAAUUGAAGCAGCAGCAGCAGCAGCGGCGGCGGCGGCGGCGGCAGCGGGGUCACGUUCAGGCACGAGGAAGAAAACAACACGAGCUCCAGUAGGUUUGACUCCUUCUCUCCUUCUCAUGGCUUUAAACACCCAGGAGUCCAGUGGAUGUCUGUCCGACAUGUGCUGAACACGGGCACCGGCCAGAUCCAGGAUUAAUAAUACAUGCUUUGCAGUAAUCGAGAAGAGAGAGCAGUGUGAUGUGGCCCCGACUCUCAUCCAGGAUCAUCUGUGAGAACCCCUGAAGAGGACGCAAAGGAAGGACACCACGUUUUGUGAGCAAACGAAUGUGGAGACAGGACGCCAAAAGUGAACUCUGCUCACGCUGAUGGAAACAAUGGAAUAAAAUUGGAAAAGCAGCAUGGACGUGGAAUAAAGGAUAUCUCAGAGGCAGGCCAAGGGCUUUGGAUGUUCUGCCAACUCUGAAAUCUGCCUCCUGUGGAUGUGGUGCUGAUAAUGCUCUAACCCAAUGCUCAGCAGAGGGCUUGUACAUCUCGAGGCGGACGGGACCGACCCGAAUCGGAGCCAAAUGGCUUUAAGUGCUGCCUCGGCGCAGCUUUUGCCAGCGGGGGAGGUUUUUAAGUGGACAGUUGGACGGUGGAGGAGCUAGCCGGUGACACCAGGAUGGAAAGAAUGCAUAGACAAUACAACAUUGAUUCCUUUCAGCUCCCCGUCACUGCUGCCAAACGAUCAGUGAGAUUUCACCUUGCGAAGCCCACUGACUGCAGCUUAGCGCGUGUGGGCG